GCGGGGAUGCCGGAGUGGUCAAACGGGACGCGCUCAAGACGCGUUAGCUCAGUGCUUGCCUAGGUUCGAAUCCUAGUCCCCGCA
rnacentral:tRNA from 1 species